CCCUACGGGGGGCAGCAGUAGGGAAUAUUGCACAAUGGGGGAAACCCUGAUGCAGCGACGCCGCGUGAAGGAUGAAGUAUUUCGGUAUGUAAACUUCUAUCAGCAAGGAAGAAAAUGACGGUACUUGACUAAGAAGCCCCGGCUAAAUACGUGCCAGCAGCCGCGGUAAUACGGAGGAUGCGAGCGUUAUCCGGAUUUAUUGGGUUUAAAGGGUGCGCAGGCGGUCUGUUAAGUCAGCGGUCAAAGCCCGGGGCUCAACCCCGGCCCGCCGUUGAAACUGGCAGUCUCGAGUUGGGGAGAAGUAG
rnacentral:rRNA from 1 species